UACGGAGGGAGCAAGCGUUACUCGGAAUUACUGGGCGUAAAGGGCGCGUAGGCGAUUUUGUAAGUCUUGUGUGAAAGCCCAAAGCCUAACUUUGGAAGUGCACAAGAAACUGCGAGAAUUGAGUUCCGGAGAGGAAGAUGGAAUUCCCGGUGUAGCGGUGGAAUGCGUAGAGAUCGGGAAGAACAUCAGUGGCGAAGGCGGCCUGCUGGGCUGUUGCUGACGCUGAGGCGCGACAGCGGUGGGGAGCAAACGGG
rnacentral:rRNA from 1 species